AAACCCUAAACCCUUAAACCUAAACCCUAACUCAAUCACCAUUGACGAGAGCUAACCUAACAGGCAUUACGAAUCAACAAGUUAAAGCCAAAACGCUCCCUGCAACCAAUACCUUGGUACAGGGCCACGAAUCUCUGGAAUUAGUGGUUCAGACAUUUCAUCGAACACCUUUUGGGCGCAGAAAUGUCUGGGCUCAAAUUCCAGUUGAUCAAAAAGCAAUAGGCAUUAAGAACAACUAAUCCAUAAGGGAUCUAUCAAUCAAUACUCAAUCACCUAGCAUACUAAGAAUUCUACACUACUCUAACCCAUCCUCAAACCUAUUCACUACUCAGACAUCAUAACAGAAAGCAUAAACGUUGAACAAGUUGAAAACAUGAUAACAACAGUGUAACAGCAGGAUGAUAACAGAAUGAACAACAGUAAACGAAAUUAAGAACAAAAACUGAAUACUGAAUAUUGAAUAGAUAAAGAGAAAUCCGGAUUACAAAAGGUCUCGAACACAAGGUCUGCGGAAUAAAACUAGAAAAAAAACUUGUUUGCGAAAAUGUGAAGUACAUGCUACUUAUAGCCAAAUAUCCCGAAACCCUAAUACUCAAAACGACGAAGUAUUGGGACGGAUUAAGAACUGUACUCGACCCAAGUGGUCGAGUGGGAGGUCGAGUGAAUAGCUGGAGUCUUCUUUUCUUCAUUGUGCUCGAGUGUCUGGUUGAGUGCGGAAUGAAGAAGACUCUGAAGCUUGCCAUCGGGUAUGUAGUCGAGUUGUGGUGAUGGUGAUACUCGACUUCAAGGUAGAGUGGUGAGAUCGAGUAGUGGUCUGGCAAUGAAGGUGAAGACACUCGACCACGGG
rnacentral:sRNA from 1 species